CAGAUUCUUCAAAGAAGCACUUCUUGCUUAGAUGACUGCUUUGUACACCUUGGCUGGAUUUUCUCAGUCAGCUUUAUGAGCUGCUGAAAGAAAAGGUGUGGAGCCAUGUCACUCUUCAGACUCAGCAGACUCCCUAUAAUAGGGAGAGAAGGGAGACUUGGAGGACUUCGCCGACCAUCAUCUACCAGGAACCCAUUCAUUUUCCUCUUCAGAUAAAGAACCACAAGGAUUAGUGCUGCAAAUACACAACUACAAAGAAACCACGCCAUCCUGAGACAACUGGAACCUGUCUAGUGUCUCAGCUACGAAUACAUCCAGCAGUCAGGUCCCUGGCACUGCACACACAGUCAGAACGCUGAAGGGGUUUUUAUAAUUCUUCUUCAAUGUCACCCCCUUGACCUGAAAAUAGUUUUACCUCAGCUAUCUCCAACUGUCAAUGUCAGCUCAAAUUCACAAAAAGCUUUAGAAGCAUUAACAACAGACUCAACAUUGAGCACUAGCAUAUCAUUCAAGGCUAUUCAAGGCUUAAACAGCAAAACUGGGCCUUUAUAUUGACUUAUUGAAGAGUGAGAAGACCUGUGUGUGAAGAAUAUUAAAAAUAAGAUGCUACAAGUGGUAUUUUGAGAAAUCUUUAAGUCAUUUCUUAUGCAUGUAAAUGUAUGAUGAUCUUCCAUAUUGUUUCUGAAGUUUGAAAUCAGCAUUUUUUUUAUCAUAAAAGAGGUCAUUCAAUAAAUUCUUAUAAAUAGUUGUA